rnacentral:rRNA from 1 species
AUUACCGCGGCUGCUGGCACGUAGUUAGCCGGUGCUUCUUCUGCAGGUACCGUCACUUACGCUUCGUCCCUACUGAAAGGGGUUUACAAUCCGAAGACCGUCAUCCCCCACGCGGCGUCGCUGCAUCAGGGUUUCCCCCAUUGUGCAAUAUUCCCCACUGCUGCCUCCCGUAGG